rnacentral:misc_RNA from 1 species
AAAAAGAGAAACGCCCGUUUUUUCAUAAGAAUGGGUUCUAUUCCCUUAAACCGUGUCUACAUACCUUUGUUGCUUUGGCAGGCCGCCCUCGGGCGUCGGCUCCGGCUGAUAGUGCCUGCCAGAGGACCCAAACUCUAUGUUUAGUGAUGUCUGAGUACUAU